CAUGAGCAGGAUGAAGGUAAGGUAACACUUACUGGAGGUCCGAACCCGUGAAUGUUGAAAAAUUCUGGGAUGACUUGUGGAUAGGGGUGAAAGGCCAAUCAAACCUGGACAUAGCUGGUUCUCCGCGAAAUCUAUUUAGGUAGAGCGUCCGACGAACUCCUUGGGGGGUAGAGCACUGGAUGGAUGCGGGCUGCGCGAGCGGUACCAAUUCUAACCAAACUCCGAAUACCCAAGAGAGCUAUCGGGCAGACACACGGCGGGUGCUAACGUCCGUCGUGAAAAGGGAAACAACCCUAACCAUCAUCUAAGGCCCCCAAGUAACGGCUAAGUGGGAAACGAUGUGGGAUUGCUUUGACAAUCAGGAGGUUGGCUUAGAAGCAGCCAUCCUUUAAAGAAAGCGUAACAGCUCACUGAUCAAGCGAUCCUGCGCGGAAAAUGUAACGGGGCUAAAGCCGUUCGCCGAAGGUAUGGGUUUGCAGUUUACUGCAAGCGGUAGCGGAGCGUUCCGUAAGCCGGUGAAGGUCAACCGUGAGGUUGGCUGGAGGUAUCGGAAGUGAGAAUGCUGACAUGAGUAACGAUAAACAGUGUGAGAAACACUGUCGCCGAAAGACCAAGGGUUCCUGCGUAAAGCUAAUCUGCGCAGGGUUAGUCGGCCCCUAAGGCGAGGCUGAAAAGCGUAGUCGAUGGGAAGCAGGUAAAUAUUCCUGCACCAGCUGGAAGUGACGGAUGGCGUAAGUUGUCAGGGCUUAUUGGAUUGUCCUGGCAGCGAAGCUGUCCCUGGAAAUAACUCCAGCAGAGACCGUACCCGAAACCGACACAGGUGGUCAGGUAGAGCAUACCAAGGCGCUUGAGAGAACUGUGCUGAAGGAACUCGGCAAAUUGCACGCGUAACUUCGGAAGAAGCGUGACCCUUUCCUGCGCAAGCAGGGUGAGGGUGGCACAGACCAGGGGGUAGCGACUGUUUAUCAAAAACACAGGACUCUGCUAAGUCGGCUUCAA
rnacentral:ncRNA from 1 species